CAUGUCCUUUUGAAUUUAAUUUAAGGUCUAAUCUGCUCAAUGAUAUUUAAAUAGCCGCAGUAUUUUGACUGUGCAAAGGUAGCAUAAUAAUUAGUUUCUUAAUUGGGAGCUGGAAUGAAUGAUUGGACAAGAAAAUUUCUGUCUCUUUCUUAAUUUUAUUGAAUUUUAUUUUUAAGUGAAAAAGCUUAAAUUUUUAUAAAAGACGAGAAGACCCUAUAGAGUUUAAUAAUUAAUUUUAAUAAGAGUUUAGUAUAAUUAUUUAGGAUUAAAUUAUUUGGUUGGGGUGAUUAAAAGAUUAAAAAAAUUCUUUUAAAAAUUUAAUUGAAUAUUUUCAAUUUUUAAAUCUAUAAUUUAUAAAAUUAAAAUAAAUUACCUUAGGGAUAACAGCGUAAUUUUUCUUUAAAGUUCUUAUUAAUAGAAAAGUUUGCGACCUCGAUGUUGGAUUAAAAUUAAUUUUUGGUGCAGUAACUAAAAAAUUAGGUCUGUUCGACCUUUAAAAUUUUACAUGAUCUGAGUUUAGACCGGUGUGAGCCAGGUCGGAUUCUAUCUUUAGAAAUUUUUUAUAUUUUAGUACGAAAGGACCAAAUAUAAAUUAAAUUAAUUGU
rnacentral:rRNA from 1 species